rnacentral:rRNA from 2 species
GGUGUCUAUGGCGAUGAGGUCCCACCUGUUCUCAUACCGAACACAGAAGUUAAGCUCAUCCGCGCAGAUGGUACUUGGCUGGACACGGCCCGGGAGAGUAUGUCGACGCCG